rnacentral:rRNA from 1 species
UACGUAGGGUGCGAGCGUUAAUCGGAUUUACUGGGCGUAAAGGGCACGCAGGCGGUCUUGCCAGUCAGGGGUGAAAGCCCGGGGCUCAACCCCGGAACUGCCUCUGAUACUGCAGGACUAGAGACUAGGAGAGGGUGGUGGAAUUCCCAGUGUAGAGGUGAAAUUCGUAGAUAUUGGGAGGAACACCAGAGGCGAAGGCGGCCACCUGGACUAGAUCUGACGCUCAGGUGCGAAAGCGUGGGGAGCAAACAGG